rnacentral:rRNA from 1 species
GACGAACGCUGGCGGCGUGCCUAAUACAUGCAAGUCGAGCGAACAGACGAGGCGGAUGCUACUAUGACGUUAGCGGCGGGUAGGAGAGUAGCAAGUGGACCACCGACCUAUAAGAAUUGGAUAACUUUGGGAAAAAGGAGCUAUGUUCGGCUCAUAUAUUGAACGGGAUGGUUCAAUAGUGUUAGGCGGUUUUGCUGUCCCUCAGCGUAGGAUCCGCGCCGCGUGAGAUAGGUGGACAGGUAACGCCCUACCUAGGCAACGAUGCGUAGCCGACCUGAGAGGGUGAUCGGCCACACGGGAAGUGAGACACGCUCCAGGCGACUACGGGAGGCAGCAGUAUGGAAUCUUCCGCAAUGGGCGGAAGCCUGACGGAGCAACGCCGCGUGAGUGGUGGAGGUCUUCGGAUCGGAAAACUCUGUUUUGAGGGAAGAACAAAUGUGUAAGUAGCUAUGCCCGUCUUGACGGUACCUACACAGGAAGCCACGGCUAACUACGUG